UACAUGUGGGGCAAGCGUUGCUCGGAAUCACUGGGCGUAAAGGGUGCGUAGGCGGGUCUUUAAGUCAGGGGUGAAAUCCUGGAGCUCAACUCCAGAACUGCCUUUGAUACUGAGGAUCUUGAGUUCGGGAGAGGUGAGUGGAACUGCGAGUGUAGAGGUGAAAUUCGUAGAUGUUCGCAAGAACACCAGUGGCGAAGGCGGCUCACUGGCCCGAUACUGACACUAAACUACGAAAGCGUGGGGAGCAAACAGG
rnacentral:rRNA from 1 species